GAAAGGGGGUAGGGUGGAAUGGAGGGAGGAGGAGAAAACACCCUUUGUUAGCAUGUGAAAAAUGCAGUGUUUUAAGGACUUAGAGUCAUUAGAGAUGGGAACAGUUCUAGCUUGUGAAAUGAUUUCAGAGAUGCUGAUUUGGUUUGGUUUGGUUUGGUUUGGUUUGGUUUGGUUUGGUUUGGUUUGGUUUGGUUUGGUUUGGGGCUAUUGUCAUUUUGUUUAAGGUUAUUUGUCUGUUUAAACAAAUCUGUGAGCCAGGGUAUUUCCUAGCUCUAAGCUGCUUCCUAUCCAUGUCUUGAGGUACAUUCCUGCAGCUGUCUUUGGAACUGUUGGUUCCUAAGUUCCUUUUAGCUGAAGUGGCUAGCACAACAUCGAGUUGAGCUUUGGAAGCCUUAGAACAGUGUUUCCACGGUGCAGUCUGUGGAACAAGCACAGCAGAUCACCUGACACCUUACUGGGAAUGUGUGUACUAGACCCCCAACCCAGCUUAUGAAUCAUACUCUCUGGGCACAGAACCCAAUGAUGUGAAUUUGGUCAGCCUCGCAAGUGAUUCUAAUGUGUCACUGGGAACCAUUUAUUUUCAAAAGAAAAAUUGCCAUGGUGGCAGAUAUGCUCUACAAGGUGCCCAGCUGAAGCUCAAGCCUGGGAGAGUAUCACUGAGGUGUUGUGUCAGGCAGGCCACACCUGGCCGGGGAAAGACUGAAACUGUAGAGGGGCAUGGAGCUAACUGGCCAUGACAUCUCCAUUUUUCUCCUUUGCCACUAUGACUAAGUAGUAGCUUUUCCACACUGAAUCAGAGAAGGUGGGCACAAAGUGUGAGAGGAGAAAAGUCAACACAGGCAGGAAAUAACCAUUUCAGUCACAGAAUCUGCUACUGGGAAAGCUGAGAGGCAAGUGCAGAAGUGUCACUCUGGAACAGAAGUCUCAAGAGGAAACCAUAUAUUUUCCCACAAUCCUGUGGGAGUAUGUCCUUUUCCAUGGCCCUGUAUGGAGGAGGGUUGUGGACUGAUUUUUGUCAGUCCCUAAGCUGUGUACUAAAAAGUAAUUGUCAGCUGGAGACUAAUUGUAAUUUAGUUCUAGAGAGCCAGUUUGAGCACAGUGGUUUGGUUUUAAUUUUAAUAGUUGUGUAAUAAUAAUAUUAGGCCAAAACAUAGUUAAUGUCCUUCCUCUCUGAAAUAUACGUAAUCAAGCCAGCUAAAAGAUCUUUUUUUUCUUCCUUUGUUGUUUUUAAAGUCAGAAAUGAAAAAUGAAGGGUCUAGGAGACAUGAAAGAUUCUCAAACACUGGACACUAGAGUGUCAGGUCCUCCGAGCCCAACCUCACACCUUUCUAAAUGCUGUCCCUUAAUGGUGGCAGGGAAAAAUUAUGUCCCAAACAGAGGAAGAGCUUUAGACCCCCAUGCAGGCCAGCUCUGCUCACAUCGCAUUAUCUCUAGAUUCAUUUUUAAAGAUAUUUAACCUUCAUAAUUGUUUUCAUUAUGAUACAAUUGAACAUUUUUUAUUUAGCCAGUCAAAUGGUCUAUUUUUUGUAAUUUUCCCUUUUAUAUUAGAAAAACUGUAUAACCCUCUUCUUGUAUAAUUAUGUUCUUUUAUCUUGUUAAGCACAAAAAUAGAUACAUUCGCCUUGACUAAAAGAUACUUGGUAUAAUUCUGCUGGUCAGUGUCCAGCAAACAUCUUAAAAUAGUUUUUUAGAGUCACAUUAAAUCAAAAUUGAAGUUAGUCACUUAAUUUAAAAAGAUGUAUUAUAAUGAAACUAUAACAAAAUCUGUUGUGUGUAAAUGAGAUAGGGUUGGGACAGAUUCUAGUUGUGGCUAAAGGCUAGCAUCUAGGGAAACUAAUUGAGAGAUUACUGCAUAGCUCUUUUUGGUUUUGUUUUUAGUUGGGGAAGAUAGGAUCUCUUUCUGGAUCCCAGGCUAGCUGUAAACUUGGCCUUCACACCAGGAUCAAGACAUACUUAAAUAAAAAAUAGUUGCAACUGUAUUUCAAAGAAAACAGUAAUUUAUCAUUAUGAAUAUUAAUUUCAUAAUGCAGUUGAAUAUCUUCAAAUUGCAUGUUUUUUCAGUUAACUUGAAAUACAUUCGUUUGGUUUUGGCUUGUUUUGAGAUAGGAUAUCACCAUGUAGCUCUGGUUGUCCUGGAACUCACUACCUAUGUAGACCAUGCUUGCCCCAGAUUUAAACAUCUGCCUGCCUCUGCCUCCUCAGUGCCAGGAUUCAAGAUGUGCCACCACACCGGACAAUUUGGUAUUGUCUUGAUAAGUGACAAAAAUAAAAAGACACACACUACCAGCAGCCAUAUUUUUUUGUGUAGUUUUCAAGUGGUGGUGGUCUGUAUUCAAACCAAUUUUUAUGAUGUAUCUUUGAGCUCAAAGGAAUGACUGUCAGAUUUUUAUAGGUUGACUCUAAUGCAGAAAAACUUCCCCAAGUCUUUGAUUUUACAGUUUCUGUCACCAUUGUGAGCAUCUGCAGCAGCUGCACUUCUCAAAUUAUUUGCUGAACCAAAUUGAGCACAGUGACAAAGUAGUCAUCUCCGAUGGGCUAUUAAACAGAGAGGAGCGGUCUGCACACAGCAGAGCAUCUGUUGUGCACAUGGCGUCCUAUAGAAGGACGCAAGAUAAAAUAAUUGUCAAAAUUUUUUCAUUAAACCCUCAACAAUUUGCACUUGUUUAUCUGAAUCUGCAUAGCUCCCCAAUGAGACAACACACUUGGGGUUUCUUUGCUUCUCCCUCACUUUUCUUUGAUCCUUUUUGAUGUGCUGACUUUAAUAAACACAGUCAAAAACACUGUGCAAGAACAUCAUGGAAAAAACUACAAAGGAACGGCCCAGCAACAGAGCUCUGCUAAUCCCUAACUUACGCAGGCUAUUUUUAGAGAAAUAUUUUUUUAACACUCUUUAUGUGACAAUGUUAUAUAAACAGGGAAAAGCAGUCCUUCCCAGAUGAAUUUUAAUUUAAGAGCUGAAAUAGAUUUGUAAUUCUAGAGGAAUCCUAUGUGCUAAGUAAUUCUUAGAGAAACACCAUUGGGAAUGUGCUGUAGGCAUGUUCCCUCACUUGUCAAGAAGACCAAGAAAAAAAUGAGUUUGCCUAAUGAUUUUUUUUUAUCAUCUAAGCUAUUAGAAACCUAUGGAAAGUAUGUGGGGAAAGGGAAUAUAAAAGCAUGAAACAAGAAAGCUAAUGUUUGCUGGGCAGUGGUGGCGCACACCUUUAAUCCCAGCACUUGGAAGGCAGAGGCGGGCUGAUUUCUGAGUUCGAGGCCAGCCUGGUCUACAGAGUGAGUUCCAGGACAGCCAGGGCUACACAGAGAAACCCUGUCUCGGAAAAACCAAAAAAAAAAAAAGAAAGAAAAAAAAGAAAGCUAAUGUUUUUCCUCAAACGUUGAUACAUUUGUGCAACCUAGAGAGCUUUAAUAUUCACUUACUCGUUUUAAAAAUAAUAUAGUAGAAAUUAUUAACUGAGCUUGUUAAAAGAAUUCCCAUUUUCAUUUUGCAGAAUACAAUAUAAUACUUCUAAACUAUGACUAUUUCAAGGGACUUUCUAUUCCUCCACUCUGCAGAUGCUUGUGCAGCCAUGAAUCUUACAACUAACUCCUCUCUCCUAGAACACUUAUGUUCUCCCAUGUGUCUUAAUAAAAUCGCGAUUGCCGUCUGAUUGUAGAUGUGAUGCUUGUAAUAUAACAGGAAAUCUUAUGAGGGCUCUGCCAGUAACAAGAAUCUAAGUUAGAGCCAGGCAGUGGUGGUUCAUGCCUUUAAUCCCAGCACUUGAGAGGCAGAGGCAGGCAGAUUUCUGAGUUCAAGGACAGCCAGGGCUACACAGAGAAACCCUGUCUCGGGGAAAAAAAGAGAAUCUAAGAUAGAAAUUGUAUCAUAUAUUCUGAAAUAUUUUAAAGUCAAUAGUAUUUCUUUGGUAUCUAUUAAAUCUGUCUCAUAGUAUAGUAUGUUCUUUAAACAGUUGCCACACAAACACACUGCCGCCAACAUGGGCACACAGUGCCGAUCCCUUUUGCUGUUUGAAGCAUGUCAUUUUGGAGACACGCAAAGUAUGUAGUUAUAAAUUCUGAACUGACAGCGAGUCUCUUUCCACAGGAGGGUGGGGACUGAGCUUACACUUUAGCUACCCUGUCAGGGUAAUUUAUGGCUCUAUUAAGAUGGCACGCCUUAGAUUUCUGCAAACAAGAGGACACAGUUUAGAGCUGUGAAAUCAUUGGACUUGAGCUUGCCUUGCUCCUUCUCGGAGCCAAUUAACAUGGCAACCUUUAAAUAGACUAAGAAAAAGAGGAACACAGCUGGAACACAAAGGAAACACAAAGGAAAAUAACCUGGGUGAAGCUGUUAGAAGUGGGAAACCAUUGACAAGACUGAGGACUUUUCUCCCAAGCAGUGACUUGAGCUCAUUGUCAAAGGAACAGUGGCUUUAAUCACUUUCCCUGAUCUUUCUGUAGUUAACUUGGUAUAUAAACUAAGAGAGAGAAAGGAAGUAAAGCCAUUCUUUUCCAUGAAAUUACCAGUAAAACAUUUAUUAUAACAGAAGCUAGCACUCCCUUCAUGCUCUGCAAGUGAAACCAGGUCAUUGGUGCAGAGUGGAGCUCCCACACUUCUGCUGUGCUGCAGUACCCUGAGAGAAGACUGUCUGCUUUGGAUGCUUCAGAGAUGCAUGUUAGCCUGGUGGGAAGUAAAGCAUGAAAUUAGGUCUGACUACCUCAAAUCCUGUGUUGCAGCAGUGAGCUGUUUACAGCACCCCAAAGACUCUUGCUGUUCUCAGAAAGAAAUGCAUCUCUUUCCAGUGUCUGAACAAUGAGAAAUGAAUUUCUUGACAGUUAAAGUCAGGGCAGAUUUAACUUUUAAGGAUCCACUGAUGAUGGAAGCAUAAAUAUAGCUAGUUGACAGUUAUACAAACCACCAACGAUCCUUAAUGAAUACUGGGUGUGGGCAUCAAGGCCCUGUCAAUUUUGACAUUUUGACCAAGUAGCUUAAACCCAACACUCAAGAAAAAGUUGAAUGCUCGCUGGUCUAUAACAUCUGGGAUUUUAUUUGUCAUUUUGGAGUAACUGGCAAGUGCAAAAGAAAGAGUAAAGGGGGAUUAUCUUGACAAUGAAAUGAGUUACUCAAUCUUGUGAUAAUGAAAAGCAGAAGAAUUCUAAUGCCUUUCUGUAGUCCCUGAGGUAGAGGUACGUUUAUGAUUUUUGCAGAAGUAAAAUGUAGGCAGGCAGAACAGAUGGCCUAGAGUCCAUGAAACAUAAUAGCUCCCCAUCCCUGGACUGAGCGCCACUAUUAAUCCCAGGCAGAUUCUCUCCUAUGACUCUAUAAGAAGGUUCAAAGUCGCUACUGCUCAGCUAGUAUUGCCUCUUUUUUUACUCUGAAAUUACUCAUGACUUAUUUUGAUAUGUGAGAAUAGUUUUCUGUGCAUUCUGGUAAACUAUUGAGGCAUUCUCCAAAAAGUGGGAGGUCCUAAACUUUAAAAUGAAAUAAAAACUAAUAAAAAAUUUAUAAUUUCUCCCAUAAUACUUCAUAUUAUUUCUCUAAUAUGGUGAAAAAUAAAACCUAACAAUAUGAGACCCAACAUUUAAAUCUCUUGGUUGUGAUCAUUACGUGUGUGAGUAGAUAAAGUAUUAGACAAUAAUGAACAGUAUCAAUCCUCAAGAAAGGUCAAUUUUAUGUUUUAUGUAGUUCUGUGUGUAUGAUUGGGGGGCGGUGCAUAUGCCACAGCACGUGUGUAGACCAGAAGACAAUUCUGUGGACUUACUUCUAAUGUCCCAUCUUUACGGGGUUCUGGGGAUCAGAAUCAAAUCAUCAGCAUGCACAGCCAGUGCCAUUACGUCAUCUCAGGAUCCUGGGCGGGGGGCGGGGGGCGAGGGGCGGGGAGGGGGAGAAUGAAUGAAUGAAUGAAUGAAUGAAUGGGAAUGUUUAGUAUGUUUAAAAACAAGUUGAUUUUUUGCUAUUUGGACAUGUUUUGUCUUGGACAUAUAUUGUGUUGAAAUAGUUAGGCCCACAUCUUUGAUUUUGUAAUAUAUAUUUGUUCUGUGAUUUAAAAAAAGCUAUGACUAUAAAAUGCUUAUCAUUUGUCACGUACAUUUUGUGUUUUAGUGCUGAUGUAGUCUCCAAAUCUGCCAAUCAGGAAUGAUUUAAAAUUCAGAGUAUAAUAACUUCAGAGAAGUAGAAGGAUAACCACUAUAUUGAAUCUCAUAUGUAUUCAAGGAUACAUGCAAAAUGAAAGCUUUCUAAUGAGCCACAGAACAGGGCUAUGGGGGCAGUCUCCUGUGUAGUGGUGAACAUGAUGUACCUGCCCAGCCUUCGAGAGGGGAUGAGCUCACAUCAGGAAGAUAACCAUCUCUGACUUUUUCUUCUGAUUCAUCACUGACCUGAACUCCAUGUGAACCUUGUUAGACAAAAAAAAAUCCUGCUCCAAACUAUAAAAUAUAAUUAAGCCCUUUUGAAACGAUGUGUAAAAGAACAUUGCUGUACCCCCACUUAUAACCACUACCACCACCACAACCAAUAAAGUUAAAUCAAGCACUGCCUGUAAUGGAUUAAAAUAAUAAAUGUUCCUGGAUUUCAGUGAAGUGCUUGAAGAAAACAGGCUUCCAGCAGCCAGAGUAGCUGAAUGUAGGAAAGACAUUUAUUAAUGAUGAGUUCAAGGAUGUGGCCUGUGUAAUAUCAUUGCUUUCUGUUUACCGUGUGCUACACAGCUCUUGUAUUUUACACAGCCCACAUGUAUCGAUAUACAAUGAUGAAAAGAUUUUUUGUUUUAGCAAAAGAAUUGUUAAUUGUAUAAAUAAGACUCUUUAGGGAAUCUUCAUCGGACUGUUUCUUUUUGAUAAGAAAACCUUUACUGUAUUAGUCAGGGUUCUCUAGAGUCACAAAACUUAUGGGUAGUCUCUAUAUAGUAAGGGAAUUUGUUGAUGACUUACAGUCUACAGUCCAACUCCCCAACAAUGGUCAGCAGCAGCUGUGAAUGGAAGUCCAAGGAUCUAGCAGUUGUUCAGUCCCACAAGGCAAGCAGGCAAAGAAGAAAGAAUCUUCCUUCUUCCAGCAUCAUUAUGUAGGGCUCCAGCAGAAGGUGUGGCCCAGAUUAAAGGUGUGUACCCCCCACACCUCUGUAAAUCCACCUUCAAACCUUAUCUCUAACAAUAUUAGCUUAUUUCUUAUUACCAAAAUUACCAGAUUGUGAACUUAAUCUAAUUUCUUUGCUAGAAUGCUUUUGACAUAUUUUUACCAUAGUUCAUAAUAGUGGUGCUUGCCUGUCCUAUGAUACCAGCGGGUGGUGAAGCUGCUGCUUUCUGUUUCAAUUUCUCUAAAUUUGGUUGCAUCUGGAUAAAAACAACUGAUACACGCUUCACACAUAAUAACAUCAAAACAGUGCAUUUGAAGAGAAGAACGGGAGCCUUUAAGACAAUAAAAUUGCUAUCAGGUGACAUGAAUUUCAUUGAACAAAAGGUUACUGUGGAAGAAAGGUUCCAGCCCUAGUAAUUAAAUACUAGAGACAUUUUUCUAGCAGCCUUCCUUUUCAUCCUAAUGAUAACAUCUGUUAGUCUAGUGGUCUGAGAAAUGGGUGUUCAUUAAGAGUUCCAGCCCUGAGAUAUGGGAAACUAGAAGGCUACAAAUAAAUCUACCCUGCUCUGUGCAGUUGUUUUUCUGAAAGUGUUGAGUUCUGCCUGUGGCCACAGCAAAUUGCCCUCUUAUUCACAUAAGUGAGAGAGCUGUGUGCUAGAGAGAUUAUUGGCAAAACAAGCCUGGCAGGAAUUAAUGAAUGAAAAUAUAUGAGGUAGUCUUUUAUACCCUAGCGGGUCCCCUAGACCCGUUGGCUGUGUUAGUAUAACAUGCUGAGGCUGUGCAAGAGAGCUGGGGCAGGAAAGCAUUUAUUUACAGUGCUGUUACCACUUGCAGAAUGAACUAAGAGCAGUGUUUGUAAAGCAGCAGAGUACUUGAAGCAGAUUGACAGAGUCUGCAUGCCUGCUACUUAUUGGCCUCUUCUUAAAUCUUCUCUCCCUCUGUCAACUAAACUAGGCCACUUGAAUAGUAAAUGUUUGAGCUAAAAUUUAUUUUUCAAGAUGUACUUUUUUUUAGUCAAGAACCCCUUUAUCCUUUCCUCUCAUAAAUCUUAUGGCCCAAACAUACUACAUUUAAUAUUUACUCAAUAGCAAUGAUACCAACUUGAUAGAAUAGUAACUACAAAUAAAAACUUUAGUUAGUCUCCAUAGCCCUAGUUUCACAUUCCUGACUUGUAGCUUAUUUGAAAAAUUAAAAUGAUCUCACGGACUAUGAGUACUGUGUGCCACUAAUGUCAGUGAAUCCUGGAAUUAAACCCAGUGCGCUAGUCUUAACUGUUUCAUAGGGUUAACCCUGAAAAGGUAGACUUUUGUUCAAGGACAUUUUGAGGUAAAAUGGACUUAAAUGGCUUCUGGUUUUUCUGAUGUAUCAGACUUUUAUUGUGUAGACCAAGACCAGUUUCUAAGCCACCACGGUCAUUUUGCUUUCAACAGUAAGCUUAUAUGCAGUCUUCACCUAUAUGACUAGCUACAGAAAUCACCUCAGCAGGCAUGAUAGGACACACCUGUAAACCCAGCACCUGGAAGAUAGAGGAGGAUCUGGGGUUCACAGCCAGUGUGGGCUACGUAGUGAGACCUUGGCCUCCCAAAACACAGACCCAGCAGAACUUUCUUCAUAGAAAUUAGCUAUUGUGUCCAUCUAAGAAACUUUACAGGUAUCUUUUAUCGUCCUUCCUUCCUCUCAAAGAAGGCUGUCAUUUAUUAUUCAGUAUGUGGUUGUAGUACCAGGAAAAUGUUGGUGAGCCCCCCAAAAACAGACAGGAACCAAUCUGAUGCAGUCACAUCAGGGUCUUUAUUCUAUUCGAGCUAGCUCCGGGGCCCUCCAGCACAUCACCAUUAUGCAGGACGGUUUUGGUGGUAGGGGAGCCCCAAAUGUCUAUUGGGACAAGGCUUUAUGUUUAUAGUAAGUAGCAAGUCAGGGUGAGUGUACAAGCAUCUAAUUGGAAAGCUGCUGUGGCCUUUAACACAAUUGGCUGCUGCUGGGAGUCAUAUCAUAAACUUUAUAUCUGUUCCCCUCUGCAUUGGUGAUCGCUAGGCAGGGGAUGGGCUUGUAACCUGAGGGUGCAGGUUUGUUGAGGGAAUAACCUAGAGAUACUGGUCUUGUUGAGGGUGUGGCCUGGAAAGGCUGGUCUUGUUGGGGAUUAACCUAGAGCCUGGAGUUAGACUCAGGUUUUGUUGGGGGUCAACUUGGAAUCUAAUGCUAGGUACUGGCCUGUUAGUUUACCUGAGUUCAAACUUAACUUAGGUUCUCUAAAAUUGAGUCUGAGCUUAAAAGAUUUGGCUUCUCAUGGUCAGAUGUACCAGUCUGCUUCCUUAAAACAUGCCCAUAUGAGCCAGUCAAAUCUUAGUUUCCUAAUACAUUCCUAUAGUAUAAGAAAGCAAACAUGGUGGCCAACUAGAGGAGGAUAGCGAUCUUCCAUCACUUCAUGGUGUUUGCAUUUUAAUUUUCCAAGACUUCACAAGUAUAACUUUCCUAGACAAGGAUAGAGUAUGAACAGCCAAGGUAGAAAGAUGUUUCUUCUUUCAUGUGAAAUUCUCCUUUGAUCUUUUAGCUUUUCAUUGAUUCUUUGUGUAUUUCACAUCAUGUAUCCCAGUCCUCCUUAUCUUCCCAUCCCUCCAUAUCCAUCCUGUGCCUUUACAGCCUUCCUCUCAAAAGAAAACAAAGCAAUACCCACACCAACACCUCACUAACGAAGCUACAGUGUUCCCCACAGUGUAUCCUUUUGCCCAGAUAGCUUUACUUGCAAAUGAUCAUUGCAUUUAGUCAUUGGUCUGGUUCCAGGCUACAGUAUCGAUUCUGGAUCUACACUGGGACUCCAUCUGAUAAUCCUCUUUUCUUGUUUCCCCAUGUUAUGGAGAUCCUGAAGCCCCUUCAUGUGCUCCUGCAGUUCAUAAAUGGGUUAGAUGUUGGGGUGGGCCAACUCAAAGCCCUGGAUCUGAGCCUGGGUGGUAGCUGAGUUAGUUGGUCAGCUCACCAGCUUUCUUGUGCCCAUGCCACCAGGACCAGCUCUCCAGCUCUGCCUGGUCAAGGGGUGGGGCCAGUUCCACCACACUGUUCAGGUGGGAGUGUGGCAAGCUCUCCCAUCUGCAGCAGGUAAUGAAGAGCUAAGCAAACUCUGGCACCCAAACCACAGCAGAGCCAGCUCACCCACCGGCUACAGGUGGUGGGACUGGGGGAUAGAGGUGCCUGCUCAUCCCUGCCAUCAGGCCAGCUCUACUGUGCUGCCCAGGGAGGGCCAGGGACAGCUCUCCCACACUCACUCCAUCAGGGCUAGCUAUUCUGGACCAGUGUCACCAGAGCCACCACUCCCAUGCUGCCCAGGUGAGGGGCUCUCUCACUGCAGGCCAGCUCAACACAGUGCUCAGACAUCAGCGUGGACUCAGGCUGCAGCCCAGACCACAGACAUCUGGAUGGCCUUCAGUGGCAACACAGGCCACAACCAUCAGCACAGACCCUGGCUGCAGUAGGACCCAGACCCAGACCCAGCCCUUGGCUGCAGCACAAGCCCAGACAUCACCAUGAUAUACAACUCUUUCUCACAACUGUAGCUUCUCCAGUUCCACCUCCUCUUCAGUGCACUACUUGUCUUAACUCUCUCUCCCAUCUCUCUACCACAUUCUGCUCAUCAUAGUUGCAGCAGCACUUGCGUCUCUUCCACCAUCAUCCCCUGGGGUAGGUGUGGGGAGGUGGCAAGUGUUUGGGUGUCUCAGGAAAUCUUAUGUUCCUAGUUUCUUACAUUCAGAAGACCAGGCUUGUAUUAAGGCCAGGAUCCAGUCUUAUUCUCUAAAUAGGACUGGAUAAGAGGUCUUGGAGACUGAAGUUCUUCCUACAAGAAAUUAAAAGAUAUCUUGGAGAAAGGCCACCAAACUAGGUCUCACUUCCUGCUCUCUUGUUCUGGACACUGUUUCCCUUUGGUCACUGAACAAUAGAUAUAGUCCCUUGUUUCACUGCAUUACUUUAUUGAGUGUUUUUACUUAAGAUAUUAAUAAGCAUAAGUGUUUACAUAAGCUUAUUGCAAACUUGAGUAUAAGUAGGAUCCAAUCAUUUUACACAUUCUGUUUGAGGAUGGAAAACAAGCUGAUUUUGUUUUGGGGUUUUUUACAACCAAGUGCUAUAUUUUAUGUGCUUCACAAUAAUUUGAAGGAACAUGAAAUGGAAAGAUUUUGGUUUUAGGGGACUUAGUCGUAUUUUUGUAGAUUAUACUUAAAAGAUUUUUUUCUUCCAUUUUGAGGCAUUCUGAUCUUUGCCUGUUAUGCUAAUUUGCUUCUGGAUGUUUCUAACAUAUGCUUGCUGACUUUUAGUGGCCCACGAUUACUUCCAACUGGAUUAAAAACAAACAAACAAAUAAACAAAACCUGCCUCCGCUCUGCUCACACUUGUGGUCAUUGAGUACUCUCCCAACAGGACUCAGGAGCUGGGAUAAGGUUGUUCGGUGCAGACGGGAUGUGGAGAGGAGAACUGUUACAUUGGGCUCGUCAUCCUGAUGCCCACAGGCUAGCCAUGCUUUUAAAUGGUUUUCCAAACAAAUGGUUUGCAUUUAUUGGUCCUCUAAAGGAGUAGUUUAAAGGUCAUAAGACUGUUUGUUCCUUGAAUGCAAUUUUUAUACUCACUGCAAAGUAUGUCUGCAAACAAAGCUAAAUGUCCAUUUCCCACUUCAGGUAUUUCUGACUAUUCCUCAGUGCUGUUAUACCUCAUUGACUCUAAUUAAAUAUCUGCCAUUGUUUUUUUGUUUGGUUGUUUUGUUUUGUUUUGUUUUUUAUUAAUCAGGGUUCUCUAGAGUCACAGAGCUUAUGGAAUGUCUCUAUAUAUUAAGGGAAUUUAUUGUUAUGACUUACAGUCUGCAGUCCAACUAACCCAACAAUGGACAGCUGUGGAUGGAAAGUCCAAGAAUCUAGUAGUUGCUCGGUCCCAUGAGGCUAGUUAUUUCAGCUAGUCUUCUGUAGAAGUAGGUUCCAACAGAUGGGCUGGCAAGUAACUGCAAGUAGGUGAAGGAGAAAAUCUUCCUUCUUCCAAUGUCUUUAUGUAGGCCUCCAGCAGAAGAUGUGGCCCAGAUUAAAAUUGUAUGCCACCACACCUGGAUCUGAGGCUUGCUUUGUCCCAGGCUGACCUUGAACUCAGAGAUCUGCUUGCCUUAGUCUCCUGGAUUUAAAGGCAUGUACUACCUUGCCUGGGCCUAAGCUUCUCAUGGCCACUCUGCCUCAAGAUCUCCAUGCCCAAAUCCAGGUCAGAAAGUUGUGUCUUCCAGCCUCAAGAUCUGGAUCACAGGUGUGCCCUCCAAUUCUGACUUGUAGUUCAGUCCAGACAUAGUCAAGUUGACAACCAGGAAUAGCCAUUACAGUCCACUCCUUGUCAACUUGAUACAAAUCCUAUCUCAUGCCCAAAUGAAACAAUAACCAGGUCAUGAUACACCUAACAUGAUAUAACUAUUCCUUAUACAAUCACAAAUGCACUUGUAAGUUUAGACUAGGUCAAUGUCCCUUGGGAACAUUCUUUUAGUAACUCAAAUACUGAUUGAUAUUAAGGAAAUUGGAAGAAAGCACAAAUAUCUAUACAAAAGUGUUCUUAACAACAUAAAACAGAACAUUCAUAUUUCUUUAUAAUCCUUGUUUCUGCAACUGGCUUUAGAUGAUAUUUAUAACUACCUUCCUCUACUACCCAUUCUGUAUUUUCUCCACCCUCUGCAAGUACCUCAUCAGGUCUUGGCUCUUUUUCUAGAGCAGUGACCCAUACCUUCAUUCCUGAUAGGUCUGUGCCCUCCUUUGUCAUCCUACUUGGAUUGGGCAAUCCAAUUUCCCCAUGGUAAUCUAUCAGCCCUCUAACACUGUUAUUCCUUUCUUAGCCUGUUGGUUUAAGGGCAUUAAAAGAUAGAGAACUUCAGACCAAUUUCUCUUAUGAAUAUCGAUGCAAAAAUCCUCAAUAAAAUUCUCGCUAACCGAAUCCAAGAACACAUUAAAGCAAUCAUCCAUCCUGACCAAGUAGGUUUUAUUCCAGGGAUGCAGGGAUGGUUUAAUAUACGAAAAUCCAUCAAUGUAAUCCAUUAUAUAAACAAACUCAAAGACAAAAACCACAUGAUCAUCUCGUUAGAUGCAGAAAAAGCAUUUGACAAGAUCCAACACCCAUUCAUGAUAAAAGUUCUGGAAAGAUCAGGAAUUCAAGGCCAAUACCUAAACAUGAUAAAAGCAAUCUACAGCAAACCAGUAGCCAACAUCAAAGUAAAUGGAGAGAAGCUGGAAGCAAUCCCACUAAAAUCAGGGACUAGACAAGGCUGCCCACUUUCUCCCUACCUUUUCAACAUAGUACUUGAAGUAUUAGCCAGAGCAAUUCGACAACAAAAGGAGAUCAAGGGGAUACAAAUUGGAAAAGAGGAAGUCAAAAUAUCACUUUUUGCAGAUGAUAUGAUAGUAUAUAUAAGUGACCCUAAAAAUUCCAACAGAGAACUCCUAAACCUGAUAAACAGCUUCGGUGAAGUAGCUGGAUAUAAAAUUAACUCAAACAAGUCAAUGGCCUUUCUCUACACAAAGAAUAAACAGGCUGAGAAAGAAAUUAGGGAAACAACACCCUUCUCAAUAGCCACAAAUAAUAUAAAAUAUCUCGGCGUGACUCUAACGAAGGAAGUGAAAGAUCUGUAUGAUAAAAACUUCAAGUCCCUGAAGAAAGAAAUUAAAGAAGAUCUCAGAAGAUGGAAAGAUCUCCCAUGCUCAUGGAUUGGCAGGACCAACAUUGUAAAAAUGGCUAUCUUGCCAAAAGCAAUCUACAGAUUCAAUGCAAUCCCCAUUAAAAUUCCAACUCAAUUCUUCAACGAAUUAGAAGGAGCAAUUUGCAAAUUCAUCUGGAAUAACAAAAAACCGAGGAUAGCAAAAACUCUUCUCAAGGAUAAAAGAACCUCUGGUUGAAUCACCAUGCCUGACCUAAAGCUUUACUACAGAGCAAUUGUGAUAAAAACUGCAUGGUACUGGUAUAGAGACAGACAAGUGGACCAAUGGAAUAGAAUUGAAGACCCAGAAAUGAACCCACACACCUAUGGUCACUUGAUCUUCGACAAGGGAGCCAAAACCAUCCAGUGGAAGAAAGACAGCAUUUUCAACAAUUGGUGCUGGCACAACUGGUUGUUAUCAUGUAGAAGAAUGCGAAUCGAUCCAUACUUAUCUCCUUGUACUAAGGUCAAAUCUAAGUGGAUCAAGGAACUUCACAUAAAGCCAGAGACACUGAAACUUAUAGAGGAGAAAGUGGGGAAAAGCCUUGAAGAUAUGGGCACAGGGGAAAAAUUCCUGAACAGAACAGCAAUGGCUUGUGCUGUAAGAUCGAGAAUUGACAAAUGGGACCUAAUGAAACUCCAAAGUUUCUGCAAGGCAAAAGACACUGUCUAUAAGACAAAAAGACCACCAACAGACUGGGAAAGGAUCUUUACCUAUCCUAAAUCAGAUAGGGGACUAAUAUCCAACAUAUAUAAAGAACUCAAGAAGGUGGACCUCAGAAAAUCAAAUAACCCCCUUAAAAAAUGGGGCUCAGAACUGAACAAAGAAUUCUCACCUGAGGAAUACCGAAUGGCAGAGAAGCACCUGAAAAAAUGUUCAACAUCCUUAAUCAUCAGGGAAAUGCAAAUCAAAACAACCCUGAGAUUCCACCUCACACCAGUGAGAAUGGCUAAGAUCAAAAAUUCAGGUGACAGCAGAUGCUGGCGAGGAUGUGGAGAAAGAGGAACACUCCUCCAUUGUUGGUGGGAUUGCAGGCUUGUACAACCACUCUGGAAAUCAGUCUGGCGGUUCCUCAGAAAAUUGGACAUAGUACUACCGGAGGAUCCAGCAAUACCUCUCCUGGGCAUAUAUCCAGAAGAUGCCCCAACUGGUAAGAAGGACACAUGCUCCACUAUGUUCAUAGCAGCCUUAUUUAUAAUAGCCAGAAACUGGAAAGAACCCAGAUGCCCCUCAACAGAGGAAUGGAUACAGAAAAUGUGGUACAUCUACACAAUGGAGUACUACUCAGCUAUUAAAAAGAAUGAAUUUAUGAAAUUCCUAGCCAAAUGGAUGGACCUGGAGAGCAUCAUCCUGAGUGAGGUAACACAAUCACAAAGGAACUCACACAAUAUGUACUCACUGAUAAGUGGAUACUAGCCCAAAACCUAGGAUACCCACGAUAUAAGAUACAAUUUCCUAAACACAUGAAACUCAAGAAAAAUGAAGACUGAAGUGUGGACACUAUGCCCCUCCUUAGAAGUGGGAACAAAACACCCAUGGAAGGAGUUACAGAAACAAAGUAUGGAGCUGAGAUGAAAGGAUGGACCAUGUAGAGACUGCCAUAUCCAGGGAUCCACCCCAUAAUCAGCUUCCAAAUGCUGACACCAUUGCAUACACUAGCAAGAUUUUACUGAAAGGACCCAGAUGUAGCUGUCUCUUGUGAGACUAUGCCGGGGCCUAGCAAACACAGAAGUGGAUGCUCACAGUCAGCUAAUGGAUGGAUCACAGGGCUCCCAAUGGAGGAGCUAGAGAAAGUACCCAAGGAGCUAAAGGGAUCUUCAACCCUAUAGGUGGAACAACAUUAUGAACUAACCAGUACCCCUGAGCUCUUGACUCUAGCUGCAUAUGUAUCAAAAGAUGGCCUAGUCGGCCAUCACUGGAAAGAGAGGCCCAUUGGACACGCAGACUUUGUGUGCCCCGGUACAGGGGAACGCCAGGGCCAAAGGGGGGGAGUGGGUGGGUAGGGGAGUGGGGGUGUGUGGGUAAGGGGGACUUUUGGUAUAGCAUUGGAAAUGUAAAUGAGCUAAAUACCUAAUAAAAAAAAAAUAAAAAAAUAAAGAUAUGCUACCACAUCCAAAAAAAAAAAGACAGACUGAAAGAAUGGGUGCAAAACCAGGAUCCAUCCUUUUGAUGCCUCCAAUAAUCUCACCUCAAUAUCAAGGAGAGCCAUUACCUCAGGGUGCAUGGUUAGAAAACAAUAUUCCAAGCAAAUAGAUCCAUGAACCAAGUCAUUAUAGACAUUUUAGUAUCUAACCAAGCAGACUUCAACCCCAAACUAAUCAAAACAGAUGGGAAAAAUGACACUACUCAAAAAAGGAAAACUGCACCAAGAAAAAAAAAAAAAAAAAAAAAAAAAAAAAAGCCCAAAAUGACCAGGGAGACAUCUGUGCUUCCAGUUCAAUGGAAUGUUUUUUGUAGUUCCUGGUAGGAGCACUCCCCCCUCUAAAACCAAAACUUCUAGGCCAGCAGAGCCUAGGGUUGUGGGGACAGGAAGCAAAAAAUUUCUGAGGUUCACUAGGAGUAAUAGUGAGUAGAACUAUUCCCUUUUCCCCUUGAUUUCUGGACCCAUGGAUCUUGGCUAUGGGAGAAACUGUACCAUAUAUUAGAUGCUGAUUCAAAGCAUAACUGCCUUCUGAAGAACUCUGCCCCGUCCUCCAUGCUGCUGCCACCUAAUUGGCACUGUAACUGCAUCUGCAAAAGGCUGUUACAUCUAUCAGACCAGCUGCUUCAGGAUGGUGGAGAACAUAGUAUGGGCCCACUGUCAUACUUCUCUGGCUGUGAAAUGAGUUCCUUGGUCAGAAGCAAUACUGUGUGGAAUACCAUGACGAUGGAUAAGGCAUUCUGUGAGUCCAUGGAUGGUGGUUUUGGCAGAAGCAUUAUGUGCAGGAAAGGUAGUACUGUAACCAGGGUAAGUAUCUACUCCAAUAAGAACAAAACAUUGUCCUUUCCGCAGAGGAAGUGGUCCAAUAUAGUCAACCUGCCACCAUGUUGCUGGCAGGUCACCUCAAGGAAUGGUGCCAUAUCUGGGUCUCUGUUGUUGACAGAUCUGGCAUUCAGCAGCAGCUGAAGCCAGGUCAGCCUUGGUGAGUGGAAGUCCAUGUUGUUGAGCCCAAACAUAACUCCCAUUUUGACUACCAUGGACACUUUGUUCAUGUGCCCAUUGAGCAAAGACAGGGCUGGCUGGGGAAAGAGGCUGAGUGUCUUCUUAUCCACUUGAUUAUUGAACUCCUCCUCAGCUGAAGAGUCACCAUUUGGUGAGCAUUUACAUGGGACACAAAUACCUUUACAUCCUUUGCCCAUUUAGAGAUAUCUAUCCAUACUCAACAAUUUUCCAAUCGUGAUCUUUCCAAGUCCCUGACCAUCCAGCCAAUCCAUUGUCUACAGCCCAUGAGUCAGAGGACAGUCAUACAUCUGGCCAUUUCUUCUUCUAGACAAACUGUAGUACCAUGUGUACUGCCUGAAGUUCUGCCCACUGUGAAGAUUUCCCUUCACUUGUGCCUUUCAGGGUUGUCCCAGAGAGGGGUUGUGAUUCUACAGCUGUCCACUUCUGGGUGGUGCUUGCAUAAUGUGCAGAACCAUCAGUAAACCAGGUUCUAGUCUUCUCUUCUUCAGUCAGCCAAUCCUAGGAAACUCCCCAUGAGGGUAUAGGUGCAUGCUUGGCAGCAGAUGGCAAUGUAACAGGAGUAGAAGAGACCAUAGGCAUUUGAGCAACUUAUUCAUUAACUUCAGGACCUGCUUGGGCACGAUCACAUAUAUACCACUUCCAUUUGAUAAUAGAUUACUGCUUUGUACUUUAUGACUUGGAGGGUCUGAUAACACCCAGAUCAUGAUGGGCAGUUCAAGUUGCAUGGUAACUUGGUGUCCUAUUGCCAAACAUUCAGUUUCCACUAAGUCCCACCAAUAGUAUCUUCUAGAUCUAUAACCAGACUCAAGGCAAAGCAGGCCAGCCUGGGACAGAGCAAGUUCUAGGUGAAGAAAAGCUUAAAUCCAGGCAUGGUGAUACGUGCCUCAUGCAGAUGUCUUCUGAGUUCAAGGUAAAUCUGCAGAGCAAGUUCUAGGACAGUCAAGCUAGGCUGUGAAGGAGUUGGAAAACAGAAAGCUGGUGAUGAUGUAAUAGAACAAGGCAGGGCAUGUUCUGGCCCCUACAAGCAGCAGAGCUUUGGCAGCUUCGGCCAACAAAGGCCCAUAAGGAGUGGCACUGUUAGGAGGAGUGGCCAUAUUAGAGGAAGUGUAACACUGGAUAUGGGCUUUGAGCUUUCAGAUGCUCAAACCAGGCCCAGUGUUGCUCUCUUCCUGCUGCCUGACCUUCCAGAUGUAGAACUCUCAGCUCCUUCUCCAGCAUCAUGUCUGCCUGCAUGUUGCCAUGCUCCCACUAUGAUGAUAAUGGACUGAACCUCUGAACUGUAAGCCAGCCCAAUUAAAUGUUUUUCUUAUGAAGAAUUGCCUUGGUCAUGGUGUCUCUUCACAGCAAUAGAAACCCUAAGACAAAAGGUCAAAAAGAAGUGAAACCCCAAAAGUAGUAGGUAUUUCUGCCAUCCAGGUUUUGGCUUCUGCAUACCAUUCUUCAGCAUCCAGGUCUCUGGAGAAGUGGCUAAUGCCAGAGGGGAAAUGGGAGAAAUACAUUGAGGUUGGAGAAUAAAGAAGAUUAUCCCCAAAUGACAGAAGUAGAUCAAAAAUACUAACUUAAAAGGGCCCAGUGAGCAAAGUUGGCUUAAUUUAAGCAACAAAUAAUAAUAGUGAAUAUUUACUUAUAAGGUGAGUAUUAGUGGUUCCAUACUAAUACAGAUACAACCUGUAAAACGGGGAACGAGAAAGCUCAUGUAUACCAUUCCUACAUAAGGUAUGUUAUGUCUACAAACUAGCUCAAAGAAAGGCCCAACAAUUUAUUUUUUUUUAAAAAUGGCAAGCACAUGAGACUGUACACGGAAGGAUAGGAGCAUUAAAGGUUCCAUGUUCUGGACUUCUACGACACAGAAUUUCAAUUUCAUUUACUCAGCACACUCAGUAACAUAGAAAUCAAUUAUCAAGAUUUUAGACAGUGAAUCAAAAACAAGAAAAUCAAAACAAUAAGCUGAGAUCUUAAGUAAUAGCAUAAAUAGGUCAAAACAUAGAAAUAAGAUAAAGUAGAAUCUGUGGUAGAAUGAACUGAAAAGUACUCAGAAGAAAACAUGAGCACAGAGCAACAGAUUAGGACAGAGGGCACGUAAGAGGCACAGUGAAAAGAUCUAACAUAACUGUCUAAAGGAACAGAGACCAAAUAGUUAAACCUGAGUACCAUAGUCUUUGAGGCCAAUUAACCUUCAUUGUUGUACACAACGGCAUAAUAUGUAGGAAUGAAUAAGGGCAGUUCUAAUAAAACUCUAUUAACAAAAUCUAGAAGCUCAUUUGAUUAAGUCAGGGAGCCACACAGUUGCUCAAUCUUAGUCACAUCUUUGGGAAAUUAAGGUGCGAUAUUAGUGUUAGAGGAUAAGAUACCGCAUACCACUUUAAAAAGAUUAACAUUCUUAACAUAGAAUAGAGGCUACAGAUGAAAAAAAAAAAAGGAGUUAGAAAAAAAAGGAAAAAACUUUAUUGCAGUGUACAACUUAGGAUAUCAUUGUGAACCUGAUGAACAGUGGUAAACAUUAUGGAAGAAAGAAAGAAAGAAAGAAAGAAAGAAAGAAAGAAAGAAAGAAAGAAAGAAAGAAAGAAAGAAAGAAAGAAAGAAAGAAAAGAAGACAAACAAAUGUUAAACUGCCUCCAAAGCAUUGGAGAGCAAAAGGAAGGGAUAAGCUCCACCCUGGAAUUCAGAGAGAAGCAAAAUGCCUCAUGAGACUGGAAAGAGAUUGGUAACAAGAGGGCCAGAAGGCAGAUUUCUGAGUUCCAGGCCGGCCUGGUCCACAGAGUGAGUUCCAGGACAGCCAGGGCUACGCAGAAAAAACAAAAACAAACAAACAAAAAAAAAGAGGUCCAGAGUAAGCAAAUAGAUUUAAGACUAGUUAGGAUGUGUGAGUCAUAAUAGGAUCUGUCAUGCCAUCUCAUCCAUGUAUAUAAUAUACUUCAGUUAUACUGCAUUCAAACAGGAAUGCAAAAUAAAGAGCUUCAAAUGAGCAAUUGAUGGAAAAAAUAAAAAAUAAAAACAAAAAAACAAAAAAAAACCUCAAGGUAAUUGUAAAAAAGUUUCAGCAUUACAUGUUUGAUAAAAAGAUUUAAGAAAUUGAUUUCUUAACAUGGUAACUUUUUAACAAGCUGUAGCCCACACACUUGUGGAUCUCAUGCCUUCCAUGGAGUUUUUAAAGAUGUGUAUCUUAUUUCUACAGAAAGUACAUAUAACAUAUGAAAUUUUCAAUUCUCAUGCCUUCCAUGGAGUUUUUAAAGAUGUGUAUCUUAUUUCCACAGAAAGUACAUAUAACAUAUGAAAUUUUCAAUUCUCCACAGAACUGUAAAGUCAGUAUGGGUACUGUACUUUGAAAAGGCAUACAUUCCUGGGCCUAAGGUGUUUCUUAAUCUUUCAUCUUUUUGCAGGAUCAAAUAGCAUUAGGAAAAUAAGUCCUGGACAUUACAAAUCUGGCUUGGUGAAAAUCAGUUUUCAUAAUGACAGUUUAGAAUAUGAGUUUCUUGGGAGGAAAAUGAACUGGCCACUUGCACCCAUGCUCUAAGUAUCUUGAAGUCUGUUGUAGACUUUAUGGAAAGAUUUGAUACACACUCCUACUUCAAGUUCAAAAGGAAACCUACAUUUUAAGGUGUAUUCCUUUUCUGGGUGUGUUUACUUUGAAGUAUAGCAUACAGGUUUUUCUCAUGAAUCUAACCUGCCACUAUCUAUUUUUAAGACUGUAAACCUCAGGUGGUUAUGAUGUGUGAAGUUUGGAUUAAGCUAAAGUUAUUAGAAAGCAUAUGUUAUGUAUUUUGAUUGUUUUUAAUUUUAACAUGGAGCAGCCCAAAACUUGAGUGUCUAGCAAAGUAACAUACUGUACUCUUGCUGUAAGAAAUCACAGAAAAUUGCCCAAUCACAUCAUGUUAAUAACGGACAAAUGAAGCAGCUGUUCUUAUUAUUAAUGUACUUGUUUGAAAACUUGCACAAUUUCAUGGAACUGUCUUUGCUCAUAAAACCUAAACUUCUCACACAUGGAAAAAGCCAUAAUGUUUUGGCAAAUACCACUUUCUUAGGAAUGUGAAUAUCUACCUGCUUCAUAACUAGAAUUCUAUAAUAAUGACAUGAAACUGGUGGAAAGCCAACUGGGAAUGGCCUGGCAAGGAAGAAUUAGCACUGUUUAAAAAUAUACCUAGUCCUUUUCCUAACCUCUGUGUGUGUGGGAGGGGGGUGGGGGGUGUGAGAGGGAGAGGGAGAGAGAGAGAGAGAGAGAGAAAAUAUGAGUAAUUACACUGUGCACCCUUUCCAUGUCUCUC